AAUCGAUUCCACCUCUUCUGGCAACACCCAUGCCCGACCACCACCCUUCAUCUCCCCUUAUCUACACUACCAUCCUAAUGUAUUAACAUCACCAAAACAGACCCUAAACAUGGCUGAAUAUUUUGGGAAAACAAGCCAAAUUAGCACAAACAUGAGGCAGUAGCGCCUUCUCCAAUUGAAGGGGUCCUACGCUAUCUUUCCACCAAAUUGCUACUAUUUGAGAAUCUAGCAUCCUCAUAUGAACUUGGGUGUGCAUUCAAUUAAUUCAAUCCAGCCUCCAAUCGAUCCAAUUUUUCAAAUCAAUUAUUUCUCGGUUCGAUUGCCUAACCCAAAUGCCGUGUCUUCUUCAAUUAAUGGAUCUUGAACCAUUAAUCAAGCCAAUUGCCAAAAACCAAAUAUUUAAUCGCCGACAAGAAAGCAACCAGCGAUCCUCAGACUCUCCUCCCCAACCACAGUUGAUUUCCUAACAGUUAAACGACGACUUUUCGAUUUCACUGACCUCCCUUUUGAUGAGCUUCUAAAUAUCGAGCAGGAAUUUAAAGACCAUAUAAUCUCCGAGCAGAAUUUAAGAAAUUGAAGAGUGAUCUCCACCGUAUGAUCUAGAACCAUCAGGUAGCCUCUAAAAUCUCGAGAAUGCCAGACAACGAGUGGGAGGAAUGGGGGGACAAUUUUGAGCAGCCCUCAGCCUUAACAACUGGCGACGCCACAGUAAUCGUCAUCCAUGGUUUUACCUUGAUA
rnacentral:lncRNA from 1 species